GCCUACGGGUGGCUGCAGCUAAGAAUCUUCCGCAAUGGGCGAAAGCCUGACGGAGCGACGCCGCGUGAACGAAGAAGGCCGUGAGGUUGUAAAGUUCUUUUCGGGAGGGGGAACAACCGUGGCAGGGAAUGGCCGCGGGAUGACGUGAAUCCCGGAAUAAGCCCCGGCUAACUACGUGCCAGCAGCCGCGGUAACACGUAGGGGGCGAGCGUUGUUUGGAAGCAUUGGGCGGAAAGGGCGUGCAGGCGGUCCAGCAAGUCCGGCGUGAAAGACCCCGGCCCAACCGGGGGGAAGCACUGGAAACUGCAGUGCUUGAGUACAGGAGGGGAUGCCGGAAUUCCAGGUGUAGGGGUGAAAUCUGUAGAUAUCUGGAAGAACACCAAUGGCGAAGGCAGGCAUCUGGCCAUGUACUGACGCUGAGACGCGAAGGUGCGGGGAGCAAACAGGUUUAGAUACCCCGGUAGUCG
rnacentral:rRNA from 1 species